GACGAACGCUGGCGGCGUGCUUAACACAUGCAAGUCGAACGGAAAGGCCCUGCUUUUGUGGGGUGCUCGAGUGGCGAACGGGUGAGUAACACGUGAGUAACCUGCCCCUGACUUUGGGAUAACUUCAGGAAACUGGGGCUAAUACCGGAUAGGAGCUCCUGCUGCAUGGUGGGGGUUGGAAAGUUUCGGCGGUUGGGGAUGGACUCGCGGCUUAUCAGCUUGUUGGUGGGGUAGUGGCUUACCAAGGCUUUGACGGGUAGCCGGCCUGAGAGGGUGACCGGCCACAUUGGGACUGAGAUACGGCCCAGACUCCUACGGGGGGCAGCAGUGGGGAAUAUUGCACAAUGGGCGGAAGCCUGAUGCAGCAACGCCGCGUGCGGGAUGACGGCCUUCGGGUUGUAAACCGCUUUCGCCUGUGACGAAGCGUGAGUGACGGUAAUGGGUAAAGAAGCACCGGCUAACUACGUG
rnacentral:rRNA from 1 species